GGGAGAAGACGCCCCCCACCCCCUCUAGUUCGGCCUCUCCAUUCAAGUUCGCCGGCCCCGGCCGCCGGGAUCCGGGGAUGGCACCAGCCGCCCGCCCAGCUCUGCGCCCUUUUUUUCCAGCCGCCGCGCAGAAAUUUAGGUCAAGGACGUCGGGAUCAAACCCAAACCCUGGCGCUCCUCGGCGGGCCCCGAGACCCCCCAGGAUCGGGGAGCUUCAGGAUUGCGGAGACCUUCCCGCACAAACAGCAGCCACAAGUUUUAUUUUCCUUUGGCGCUGGAAGUUCUCUCUGGCUCUCGCUCCACACCGGCACGUCUUGCGCCGCUCCCCGCCCUUCCCCGGCAGAGGAUUAGGACACAAUGGAAUACACUCAACACCAAACUAUACCAAAUCCACUGUGGGUCGUGGCAAAGUGGAAUAUUUGGAAAAUCCCAACACUAGCCAAAGCCUUGAAUGACCAGAUUCUUAAUCUCCCUGCCUCCUAAAUUUGGGAUAAUUCCUCACUGACAGGAUUGAUGGAGUGAAAGGAGAGAUUGAAGUCUGAAGCAAAUCUCAGAGAAGAUAUAUUAACACUAAGAGAGAAAGUCAUGGAUUACCUUGAUGCUUUCACAGACCAACGCAGUCAUCCUUCACAGGAGAGAUGGGGAAUGAGGUGUGGGUGUACCCAAUGUCAUGAAAGAUUAUCACAAAAGACCAGAUCUCAGGGAUGACAAUCACAACAACAAGAGUAAUUUAGGUUCUGGGAUACAUUUCAUCAUAGGUUUAUGAAGCCCUUGACAGCAAAAUUAAAUCUGACAUCACUCUUGGGGUUGAUAAACACUGUUGCAGUGUCCCGAUAAAGUGAGCUCAGACACUUGAGGGCUCUCUCCCCCUGAGGGUUAGAAUCACCUUCUUCCCUUCCACAAAUGUACCUCAGUCACCUCCGAAAGUGACUGAGCCUCUAGAAGACCCUUGUCAUGAGAGACUAAUGCAGCCCUUGGAGAAAAUGGAGUUACUUACAGGAGUUCAGUCAAGCCAUGGGCUCAAAUCUAUCCUUGGGUUUAACUCCCUGACAUUUCCUCUUUAUCCUCCUCCCCAACCAGGUUCAGAAAGAACUUUACCCUCCUACCUUCCAUCUUAAGGGCAGACUUCCAAAUCAGCACGUUAAGUCAAUCAAACCACUAACAUCCUCUUAAAGGAAUGUAAAAUUUGACAUUAAGAUCAUCACAAAAAAUCAUAUAUUUUUCUCUCUGUGGGCAACGACAAUUUGCCACUUUCAGGCAGCAUAGGAAUAAGAGCAUUAUCAUUCAGGACAGACACAAGCAGUAUGUAAAUAACCACAAUGUUUAGCACCCUGGCCCAUGAUCAGUUCACCUUCUUCCACAAUUAAAAGUGACCACG